GCUGGCGGCACUGCUUUACACAUGCAAGUCGAACGGUAACGCGGGCUUCGGCCUGGCGACGAGUGGCGAACGGGUGAGUAGAACAUCGGAACGUAUCUUUUAGUGGGGGAUAGCCCGGCGAAAGCCGGAUUAAUACCGCAUGAGCUCUUAGGAGGAAAGCGGGGGACUUUCGGGCCUCGCGCUGGCAGAGCGGCCGAUGCCGGAUUAGCUUGUUGGUGGGGUAAGAGCCUACCAAGGCGAUGAUCCGUA
rnacentral:rRNA from 1 species